AAAGGAAUAGACGGGGGCCCGCACAAGCGGCGGAGCAUGUGGCUUAAUUCGAUGCAACGCGAAGAACCUUACCUGGGUUGAACUAUGCAGGAAAAGCAGUAGAGAUACUGUGUCCUUCGGGGCCUGCGAUAGGUGGUGCAUGGCUGUCGUCAGCUCGUGUCGUGAGAUGUUGGGUUAAGUCCCGCAACGAGCGCAACCCUUGUCCUAUGUUGCCAGCGGAUAAUGCCGGGGACUCAUGGGAAACUGCCGGUGCUAAACCGGAGGAAGGUGGGGAUGACGUCAAGUCAUCAUGCCCCUUACGUCCAGGGCUGCACACAUGCUACAAUGGCCGGUACAAAGGGCUGCGAACUCGCGAGAGUAAGCCAAUCCCAAAAAGCCGGUCUCAGUUCGGAUUGCAGUCUGCAACUCGACUGCAUGAAGCCGGAGUCGCUAGUAAUCGCAGAUCAGCAUUGCUGCGGUGAAUACGUUCCCGGGCCUUGUACACACCGCCCGU
rnacentral:rRNA from 1 species